rnacentral:rRNA from 1 species
UACGUAGGGGGCAAGCGUUGUCCGGAAUCAUUGGGCGUAAAGCGCGCGUAGGCGGCCCGGUAAGUCCGCUCUGAAAGUCCAGGGCUCAACCCUGGAAAGCGGGUGGAUACUGCCGGGCUAGAAUCCGGAAGAGGCGAGUGGAAUUCCUGGUGUAGCGGUGGAAUGCGCAGAUAUCAGGAGGAACACCUAUAGCGAAGGCAGCUCGCUGGGACGUUACUGACGCUGAGGCGCGAAAGCGUGGGGAGCGAACAGG